rnacentral:rRNA from 1 species
UACGUAGGGGGCUAGCGUUGCUCGGAAUCACUGGGCGUAAAGCGCACGUAGGCGGAUUGCUAAGUCAGGGGUGAAAUCCUGGAGCUCAACUCCAGAACUGCCUUUGAUACUGGCGAUCUUGAGUCCGGGAGAGGUGAGUGGAACUGCGAGUGUAGAGGUGAAAUUCGUAGAUAUUCGCAAGAACACCAGUGGCGAAGGCGGCUCACUGGCCCGGUACUGACGCUGAGGUGCGAAAGCGUGGGGAGCAAACAGG